GGGCGGGAGGAGUCGGGAGCGGACAGGGCGGCUGGUCUCGGGGUCCGGGGGCGCGCUCGGUGAGGGGCGCCCCUUCUCCAGCCCCUCGACCCCAAACGCCCCUCAGCGCGCCUGGCUCGGGGCGCCCCGGGUUCCCGAUCCCCGGCCGUGUGGCCCCAGAACCUGCCCGCGUCUCGUUCCCCGUCCUCUUCAGCGGCCGGCCUGUGGCGGCCACAAGGGUGGAUUCUUAGGGGGUGUCACAGGGUGAGACCCCCUCGAUGCGAGAGCAGCCCCCAGUUUGUUCCACCUGUGACCCGCCCGAUAGAGCUGCGCUUCGGGGAGAGAAGCCCGGCUCCCCGGGUAGGAACAGGGCUUCUGGAGGGGCCCUGGGCCGUGCGCCUCACCUGCAGCACCUGGCUCACAGGUGUCACACUGCGAAGGGGGAGACCGCGUUUUACAGCUCGAAAACCCGGGGAUCCGUCCAGACGAUGUUGGAUUCAGCAUGCCAACGAUGGAAUUGGACGGCUUUUCAUGUGUCCGAGAGAACUUCGGUCAGCUGGCUCUUGUGCUGCUCGCUGACCAAGGGAGCCGGCCAUACCAACCCGACAGCCCAUCUCUGCGGAAACUGCCGGCAGGAACCUCGGGUGACAGCUCCGGAAGCUGGGAAGACCCUUCAAAUCUUUAACACUGAGACGAAGAGUAAAACGAAGACUCACGCCGUGGCGGAAGAGGUGAUUUUCUGGAAGUGGGUCUCUGCGGCAUGGCUGCCCUGGUGACGAUGACCGCAGUCUGCCGCUGGAGCCCGGAAGGCGACCCACAGCCCGGGAAGGUGUCCGAUCGACACGCCAGCCUGGCGGGGUGGCAGGUGGUCCACAGCCGGAUCGACGAGCUCCCCAAGGGGCUGCUCCCCCCUGGCCUCUCAGGAAAAUGGUGUGGUUGGGGCAGCGCAGCUCUACCCGGUGGACACAAAGGCUCUGCAGCCCUGGGAGGCCACGCUGCAGCGUUUGUGGAGAUCAAGAUCGGGGGCGACGCCAGGCCUUCCACCUCUUCCAAUCUGCCGUCCGCAGAUCUGCAGGAAGAAAGACUGGAGCUGAACCUGGUGUCAUCUCCUCGAUCACAAAGCACUGCUGUCUCCAUACGUGUGACGUAUGACACGUGUGACGUAUGACACGUGUGCAGCUACGUGAACCCAGCAGGAGCACACACAGUCUUCGUGACCGCUCCCCCGAAGCCACCUCUGGCAUUAUUAGUGUCAGCAAAAAGCAACAGGCAAGUUAAGCGAAGGGUGCCCUGUGGCUGUGCUGCUGUUUGCCGUGAAUCCUGUGCACCAGCAACCCGCUUGGAGGCUGCAGCAGCCACCUGCCCGGCCUGGCCAGGCUGGGCCCAUCCUCGGCCCCAGAACUUUGGAAUCCAGUUUGGCUCGAUCCGCUGGAUUCCUUAGAACGUUGUCGUCCUGUCAGGAGGGGCGCACGCAGCUCCCAGAACCGUGGCUGG